rnacentral:pre_miRNA from 1 species
AUACAACCCAUCUAGGGAUCUUGUUAGGAUGUGAAUUCUGAUUCGGUAGGGGCCCAAGAUUCUCCAUUCCUAACAGGCUCCCUGAUGAUCCCAUG